ACUGGCUUUACCACAGUACCUGAAUUUUUCCACAUGACAGGAAAUAUGUCUUAGAAAAGUUUGUAACUGGGAGACUUUUUAAUCCCCAAUUUAGCCACUGCAAAGAGGGUAGAACCUGAGAGAAAGUGGUCUUGUGGUGUCACUCAGGUAAAUCUCCAGCAGGUAAGCACCGGAAGUUGGAACACGACUCUGUCACUCAGUAUCCCUUUUACAAGGUAAGAAACGUCAGGAUUUACCACCUUCGAAAGCUUUGUUUCACUUAGAAACGUCUAGGCUUCUUCAUUUUGAUGAAGACAGCUAAUGUGACAGUGCCUCUCUGAAGUGAGGCUACCGCAGCUGUGUUUUUUAUGGUUUAAGUAUUUUUUCUCCUCCCCCCCCCGCAGUCCAGAUCAUGCCUAUUUUGCUAACCUUUCCGUGUCUACGUUCUUCCCCAGUCUUUUGGGCAAACAGGUGAAAUAAAAAGAAAUGUGAAGAUGAAAAGAGCGGGCAAGCAAGAGUCGGGGUAGCAAAUCAGCUCUUGGCAUCCUAGGGCUGGAGGCCUGAGAAGCCACAGGAAGCAGGAGGCGAUCUGGAGCCGUACAUCUUCUGGGUAGUGCUUGUUGAAGCUUGCAGGAGGGCUGCAGAUGCCUACAAGUGCCUGCGCAAGACUGCUGAAACUGGCCUCAAACACACCAGGUCCAGCUGGUGCAUCUGCUCUUGGCAUCAAGGUUGCAGGUACCUUGUCCUGAACCUGUCCCAUUCUUCCGACUUGGAUUUACUUUUCCGUGGCAGCCUCCCUUACCCCAAUCU
rnacentral:lncRNA from 1 species